AAAAAAAAAAAAAAAAAAAAGUAAUCUACAUUUAAGGUUAGUAUUUCUUUUCUUUUUCUCUUCUUUAAAAUUCUGUAAUUUAAUUUUCAAUUUAUUUUUUCUUUAAUUUUUGUUUAUUUUAUUAAUUUAAUUUUUAGUUAAUUUAUUUCACGUAUUUGUUUUGUGUAUUUUUAUAGAAAGGUUGUAAUAGCGCAAUAAGGUUAGUAUCGUAAUUUCUCCCUCUUCUUUAUUUUUAUUUGUUUUGUUCCCAUCUUUAUUUUUAUUUUUAUUUUGCAUGCAUGGUCGUAGGUCAUUAUUACCUAAUCUUGAACCUAUAGACCUUGAAUUAGAAAAAACACUUCGCACACAAAAGCACAUUAAUAAAUUUGGAAUGGAUUUACAAGCACCACAGGAGAGGCCAUUUAAGGACUAUUCAGUCCUUUAGCUAAUUUGAGCACAUCAUGCAUAAGAUACCCAAAUGUAGCUGCUAGGAGUUUUGAAUUAAAACCUAGUGUGCUAAAUUGUCUCCCCACAUUUUAUGGCUAGAAAAUGAGGACCCAUAUAAUCAUCUGAAUGAUUUUCAUGCCAUUUGUCAAACAUUUAAAUAUGAGAAUUUUUCAGACGAUGAUGUUAAACUUAGAUUAUUCCCAUUUUCUUUAAAGGAUAGAGCUCGUUCAUGGUUAAAUACUUUGCCUGCUAAUAGCAUUGCAUCAUGGGAACAAAUGGUAACGAAAUUUUUGAAUAAAUAUUUCCCAGUGCAUAAAACCAAUGCUAUUCGCAGGGAAAUUCAGAGUUUACCAAGAAGACGAGCAGUUUUUCGAAACAUGGGAGCGAUUCAAUGGGCUACUCUUGAAGUGUCCACAUCAUGGGUACGAAAAAUGGCACCAAUGCAAUACUUUUUGGAGGGAUUAUUGCCAAAUGUGCAAGAAUGGCUAAUGGCAACAAGUGGAGGAGAGCUAAUGUCAAAAAGUGCAUCAGAGAUUUGGGAAUUCUUCCAGCGACAAGCGGAUAAUUCCCAACAACGGAGUCGAUCACUCAGGAAUACUAGAAGAAUUAAGGGAGUAAAUGAGGUUCAAAUUGGCGAGUCAACUUCAGGAAUCAAAGAAGUCAAGGAGAUGGUUGAAGGUCUUGCUCGACAAAUAGCAUCGUUAUCGACUGCUAAAUCAACAGAACCACAUGACCAUGACUCAUACUCAGAUCAAGCCAAUGCCAUAGGUGUAAUGAGAAAGCCAUCUAAUUACAACCCAUACUCCAACACAUAUAACCCUGGAUGGAGAGACCACCCCAAUUUUUCAUGGUCUCAAGGAUUCCAACAGAAUGGACCAGCAGCUCCAGCUCCACCAAUGCAACCAAUUCCUCAAAAUCCUCAAGCCUCUCAGCCCCCAUUUAGACCAUUCAAUCAGAACUAUUCUCAACCCAGACCAUGGGAGGAUGCAUUCCAGAAUUUCAAGAAUGUUACUCAUCCACGAUUGAGCAACAGAACCGCACCAUUGAUGGACUACGAAAUGAGUUGAGAGCGGGCUUCAACUCACAAGCCAAUCAGUUUCAAGCCUCGAGAAGAUGGUGGGACAACUUGCUUCUUCAGUUCAGACCUUGGCAAUGACUGUUGAGAAAGGUAAAUUUCCAAGUCAACCAGUGCCUAAUCCUAAAGGAGUACAUGAAGCAAGUACCAGUUCACCACAGCAGCAUGGAGAGGUCAAAGCAGUCAUGACCUUGCGAAAAGGAAAGAAGUCGACAACAAAGUGGAGAUGCCGGUGACAAAGAAAAUCAAAUUGUACCUGUGAAUGUUGAGGACUCACCACCGGAGGAAAAGAAGAAACCAACCCACGAGAAUAUGUUCCGAAAGCUCCAUUUCCUCAGAGGUUAGCUAAAGGAAAAAGGGAAAAUCCACAGGUGAGAUUCUCGAAAUCUUCAAACAGGUAAGUGUUAACAUCCCUUUACUUGAUGCUAUAAAACAAGUUCCAUCUUAUGCCAAGUUUCUUAAAGACCUUUGUACUAAAAAGAGAAAUAUGCAUGUUCAAAAGAAGGCAUUUUUAACAGAAAACGUUAGUUCUAUACUCCAACAUAAAAUUCCUUUAAAAUGCAAAGACCCAGGCUCCCCCACUAUCUCAUGUAGUAUAGGGAACCACACAAUUGAGAAUGCUUUGUUGGAUUUAGGAGCUAGUGUAAAUCUUUUGCCUUAUUCUGUAUUCGUGAAACUUGGACUGGGAGAAUUACACCCAACUCCAGUGGUGUUACAGCUUGCAGAUCGGUCCACGAAAAUACCUCGUGGUAUUGUGGAGGACGUGCUUAUCCAGGUAGACAAGUUUAUUUUCCUGUUGAUUUCAUUGUAAUUGACACUCAACAUACAGGAUCAAGGAAGCACAUCCCCAUUAUUCUAGGCCCUUCUUGGCAACUGCGGAUGCUCACAUUCAAUGCAGGACUGGAAAUAUGCAGUUGUCCUUCGGCAACAUGACUAUGGAGCUAAUUUUCAACAUUGCCAAACAACCUCACAAUGCAGAUGAUGGAAUUGUUGAUGUGGAUUUAAUUGAAACAUUAGUUGAUGACACUUUUUUUCAAACCUUAGUGAUGAUCCUUUACAAACAUGUUUAACUCACUUUGGUUUGGAUUUUGAUAUUGACAGAUCAUUCGAUGAGGUCAACGCCCUACUUGACUCAGCACCAUCCAUGGACACUAAUAAAUGGAAGUCAAGAGUUGAACAACUAGCACCAUCAGAGAAGAAACUCAUUCCAUCAUCAGAAUCACCACCGAAACUCGAGCUCAAACCAUUACCCAACACUUGGAAUAUGCAUUUUUGGGAGAAGAAAGUACUCUGCCGGUAAUCAUCUCAUCAUCCCUAAAUGACGAACAAAAAGGUAAGUUGUUGGAUGUUUUAAAAGAGCACAAAGGGGCAUUAGGAUGGACCAUAGCAGACAUAAAAGGUAUAAACCCAGUAGACUGCAUGCAUUACAUUCACCUUGAUGAAAAUGCUAAACUACUAGGGAAUGCAACGUCGGUUAAAUCCUAAUAUGAAAGAAGUUGUUAGAACUGAAGUCCUUAAGCUAUUAGAUGCAGGUAUCAUUUACCCAAUUUCUGAUAGUUCAUGGGUCAGUCCUGUACAAGUUCCCAAAAAGUCAGGAGUCACAGUAGUUACCAAUGCUGAUAAUGAAUUGAUACCAACUAGAGUAACUACAGGAUGGCGUGUAUGCAUUGAUUAUAGAAAGUUGAAUUCUGUCACACGUAAAGACCAUUUUCCUUUACCAUUUAUUGAUCAAAUGCUUGAUAGAUUAGCAGGCCAUGAAUUUUAUUGCUUUCUAGAUGGCUACUCAGGAUAUAAUCAGAUUCCCAUAGCACCAAAAGAUCAGGAGAAAACUACUUUCACUUGCCCUUUUGGCACUUUUGCAUAUAGGAGAAUGCCAUUUGGAUUAUGUAAUGCACCUGCUACAUUCCAACGAUGCAUGUUGAGCAUUUUUUCUGAUAUGGUUGAACGAUUCCUUGAAGUCUUUAUGGAUGAUUUUUCUGUCUUUGGUGACUCGUUUGAUCAAUGUUUACAUCAUCUAACACUAGUUCUGCAGAGAUGUACGAGAAGAGCUUAGUCUUAAAUUGGAGAAGUGCCAUUUUAUGGUAAAACAAGGUAUUGUUCUCGUCACAUCAUUUCGAGCAAAGGUAUUGAGGUUGACAAAGCCAAGGUGGAUCUCAUUUCUAAUCUUCCUCCACCUAAAACAGUCAGAGAAGUAAGAUCUUUCCUUGGGCAUGCUGGUUUCUAUAGACGUUUCAUUAAAGAUUUUAGCAAAGUUUCUAGACCCUUAUGCAAUUUACUUGCUAAGGAUGUACCUUUUAUCUUUAAUGAUUCAUGUCUUAUGGCUUUUGAAAAAUUAAAGCAAUUGUUGACAAUCAUCACCCAUCAUUCAGGCCCCAAACUGGAGCUUACCAUUUGAGCUCAUGUGUGAUGCAUCUGAUUAUGCAGUAGGAGCAGUAUUAGGACAAAGAGUUGACCGAAUUCCUCAUGUUAUUUACUACGCUAGUAUGACAUUGAAUGAUGCACAGUUGAAUUAUUCAACUACUGAAAAAGAAAUGCUAGCAGUAGUGUUUGCAUUAGAGAAAUUUCGAUCUUAUCUCAUUGGUUGUAAAAUAAUUAUAUUCACAGAUCAUGCUGCUCUUAAAUAUCUUCUCACAAAGAAAGAUGCAAAAAGCUAGACUAAUUCGUUGGGUGUUACUUUUGCAGGAAUUCGACUUGGAAUUCAAAGAUAAGAAAGGCACAGAAAAUGUUGUGGCUGGACCAUCUCUCUCGUCUCCAUUUUGACACAAUUACAGAACCAUUACCAUUAAAUGAGUCAUUUCCAGAUGAACAAUUAAUGAAUGUGGAAGUAUUACCUUGGUAUGCUGAUAUAGUUAAUUAUCUUGUUACAGGUAAACUUCCAGAGCAUUGGACCAAGCAAGACAAGGCUAAAUUCUUUGCGGAAAUAAAGAAUUUCUUUUGGGAUGACCAUAUUUGUUCAAGUAUUGUGCAGACCAAAUUGUUAGACGAUGUGUCCUGAAAAGUGAAAUUCAGAAAUAUCCUUUCAUUCUGCCAUGAACAAGCUUGUGGAGGCCAUUUCAGUGCUAAGAAAAACCGACAAAAGUUUUACAAUGUGGUUUUCUAUUGGCCAACUAUAUUUCGAGAUCCUUACACUUUCUGUUCUUCAUGUGAUAGGUGUCAACGAAUGGGGAGCAUUACACGAAGGAACAUGAUGCCACUAAAUCCAAUUUUAGUGGUUUGAGAUUUUUGACGUAUGGGGUAUCGACUUCAUGGGACCCUUUCCCCCUUCUUUGGCCAUCAAUACAUAUUGGUUGUGUUGACUACGUAUCGAAAUGGGUGGAAGCAAUUCCAUGUAGAACCAAUGAUCACAAAGUGGUGAUAGGAUUUUUGAAAAGCAACAUUGUUUCACGCUUUGGAUUCCUCGAGCGAUAAUCAGUGAUGGUGGUGCCACUUUUGUAAACAAAGCAUUCAAGGCUCUUUUGACAAAGUAUUCAAUCACACACAAAGUGGCGACCCCGUAUCAUCCGCAAACCAGUGGCCAAGUUGAGAUCUCCAAUCGAGAAAAUAAAGCACAUAUUAGAAAAGACGGUGAGGCCAGACAGGAAAGAUUGGUCAUUACGACUUGAUGAUGCAUUAUGGCAUAUAGAACGCUUUCAAGACCCCGAUUGGAUGUCACCUACAGGCUAGUGUAUGGAAAAGCUUGCCACCUACCUGUGGAACUCGAGCAUCGUGCAUAUUGGGCCAUCAAGAAAUUCAACUUUGACAUGCAGCAAGCCAGCUCAGAGAGAAGAUUACAACUGGCAGAACUUGAAGAAAUUCGCAAUGAUGCAUACGAAAUGCCAAGAUUUACAAGCAACGAAUGAAAGUCUUCCAUGAUAAGCAAAUUAUGAGAAAAUCGUUCACUCCAGGUCAGAAAGUGCUUUUAUUCAAUUCUCGCUUGCACCUAUUCCCAGGUAAGUUACGCUCUCGAUGGUCUGGUCCCUUUAUUGUUCAUACUGUUUUUUCCACAUGGGGCAAUUGAAAUUAAGGACCCAAAGAACGGUGUCACGUUUAAAGUUAAUGGUCAAAGAUUAAAGCCAUAUCUAGAGUACCAACCACAUGGAGAAACAUCGAAAUAAAUUUGAGUGACCCACCAAAUUUGAAUUGAUUUUUUUUUCUUUUUCGUUGAUUUGAUUUUCUUUAUUUCUUUUUAUUAUUAUUCUUUUGCUAAUUGAAAUUAUUUUUGCAUAAGUGUGUUUAUUUUACCAUUAAGUUUUCUCUUAUCAUUUUUAAUCAUGAGUCUCCUACUUAGACCGUUCCUCCUGAACAUUCUUAAACCACUUCAACGUGUCAAAACUCAUCUCAAAAAGGCAGAUUCAUUUGUAAAACACAACGCAUUUGGGCUCUACAACCACCAGAGUUAGUAGCCUAUGUUGAGGGUUUAGAACGCCAACUCAGAGACAUUGAGAGAAGUGUUUACGACAUCCAGUUGGAGCUUGAGGUAAAUUCAAUAAGAGGACGAUUUUAAUUUUCUUUGUGUGUUUUAAUUUGUUUUCUGUUUGUGUGCUUUAGUUUGUUACCCCGGUGAAGUGGCGGAUAACGGUACUCCGUGACAAUCAAGUCGGUUAACUUCAGUUUCCCAUAAUAACUGAUAUUCUGAGGCGAAGGUAUGGAUAGAAACGAGAUUUAGCAAAGCUUCACAAGCGAUUCCCAUUCACUUCCUCAGAAUGCCCUCCUUACAUCUAUAAAGCCCGGUCUGAACGCAUGCGAUUGCUCAUGAGGAAUAACAUACCUGCAGACAUCCGUUGGUUAAUCGAGGCUAAAGUACGAUUGGCAGGUGAGUUACCUCCUAAAUUUAUUGCAUACAUGCCUGGUUGUGGUAAAGGAAAUUAUGCAAGAAAACGACGAGCUCGAAGAAUUUCUGUUGCUUGUCAUAAGUGUGCCAGAAUGAGUUGCGAUAGAAAACCCAUGUUCUUUAGGAAUGGUGUCUGAUAACAGGGAAGAUAAGAUUCAAUUCAUUAGGGAUGGCUUGAAUAAGGAGUCAUUGGAUGAUAUCCUUUUGUCUCUUGAAACGCAUCCCAGUGGAUAUGUGCAAGGAGCGAUUCUCCAGUUAUGGCCAUUAUUCCAGAAAGAGCAUGCACGAUAUAGUCUCGGGAAUCUGACUAUAAACGACCCUGUUUGCCAGUUUAUAAGAAAACUGGAUGGGAAGCCCGAUCCUCGACCCAUAGAGGGCGUUCAAGCCGUUUCUGGACGUAAACCAGAGGAAGAUGUGAGCCACAGUCGCAACUACGUGUAAAUAUCCUUUUACUUUACUGUUAUUUUAUUUCACUACUGUUGUUUUAUUGUUUGCAUUAUUGUCUUUAAUAAUUUUAUUACUGUUUGCUUUUUCCUUUUUUACUGUUUUCUUUUUGACUCGCGAGCCACUGUGCUUUUACGCGUUAUUUGACACUGACAUGUUACUUAUCACAGCUGUGAUCCACUGUCACCAAAGAUUCUUAAACUGUGAUUUAUUUUUGUAAAGAACACACAAAUGUUCUUGAUGUUAUUGGAGUAGCUUGCCAUUGUGAUACUUCUCAAUAUGUGAGUGCUGACAAAAGAUAAACACAUUUAAGAAUCUUGGUACAGUGGAUCACAGCUGUGAAUAAGGUAACAUGUCAGUGUCAAAUAACGCGUAAAGCACAUGCUCGCGAGUCAAAAAGGAAACAGUAAAAAGGAAAAAGCAAACAGUAAUAAAAUUAUUAAAGACAAUAAUGCAAACAAUAAAACAACAGUGAAAUGAAAUAAAUAACAGUAAAGUAAAAGGAUAUUUACACGUAGUUGCGACUGUGGCUCACAUCUUCCUCUGGUUUUACGUCCAGAAACGGCUUGAACGCCCUCUAUGGGUCGAGGAUGGGCUUCCUAUCCAGUUUUCUUAUAAACUGGCAAACAGGGUCGUUUAUAGUCAGAUUCCCGAGACUAUAUCGUGCAUGCUCUUUCUGGAAUAAUGGCCAUAACUGGAGAAUCGCUCCUUGCACAUAUCCACUGGGAUGCGUUUCAAGAGACAAAAGGAUAUCAUCCAAUGACUCCUUAUUCAAGCCAUCCCUAAUGAAUUGAAUCUUAUCUUCCCUGUUAUCAGACACCAUUCCUAAAGAACAUGGGUUUCUUAUCGCAACUCAUUCUGGCACACUUAUGACAAGCAACAGAAAUUCUUCGAGCUCGUCGUUUUCUUGCAUAAUUUCCUUUACCACAACCAGGCAUGUAUGCAAUAAAUUUAGGAGGUAACUCACCUGCCAAUCGUACUUUAGCCUCGAUUAACCAACGGAUGUCUGCAGGUAUGUUAUUCCUCAUGAGCAAUCGCAUGCGUUCAGACCGGGCUUUAUAGAUCGUAAGGAGGGCAUUCUGAGGAAGUGAAGGGAAUCGCUUGUGAAGCUUCGCUAAAAUCUCGUUUCUGUCCAUACCUUCGCCUCAGAAUAUCAGUUAUUAUGGAAACUGAAGUUAACCGACUUGAUUGUCACGGAGUACCGUUAUCCGCCACUUCACCGGGGUAACAAACUAAAGCACACAAACAGAAAAACAAAUUAAAACACACAAAGAAAAUUAAAAUCGUCCUCUUAUUGAAUUUACCUCAAGCUCCAACUGGAUGUCGUAAACACUUCUCUCAAUGUCUCUGAGUUGGCGUUCUAAACCCUCAACAUAGGCUACUAACUCUGGUGGUUGUAGAGCCCAAAUGCGAUUGUGUUUUACAAAAUUGAAUCUGCCUUUUGAGAUGAGUUUUGACACGUUGAAGUGGUUUAAGAAUGUUCAGGAGGAACGGUCUAAGUAGGAGACUCAUGAUUAAAAAUGAUAAGAGAAAACUUAAUGGUAAAAUAAACACACUUAUGCAAAAAUAAUUUCAAUUAGCAAAAGAAUAAUAAUAAAAAGAAAUAAAGAAAAAAUCAAAUCAACGAAAAGAAAAAAAAAUCAAUUCAAAUUUGGUGGGUCACUCAAAUUUAUUUCGAUGUUUUCUCCAUGUGGUUGGUACUCUAGAUAUGACUUUAAUCUUUGACCAUUAACUUUAAACGUGACACCGUUCUUUGGGUCCUUUAAUUUCAAUUGCCCAUGUGGAAAAACAGUAUGAACAAUAAAGGGACCAGACCAUCGAGAGCGUAACUUACCUGGGAAUAGGUGCAAGCGAGGAAUGAAUAAAAGCACUUUCUGACCUGGAGUGAACGAUUUUCUCAUAAUUUGCUUAUCAUGGAAGACUUUCAUUCGUUGCUUGUAAAUCUUGGCAUUUUCGUAUGCAUCAUUGCGAAUUUCUUCAAGUUCUGCCAGUUGUAAUCUUCUCUCUGAGCUGGCUUGCUGCAUGUCAAAGUUGAAUUUCUUGAUGGCCCAAUAUGCACGAUGCUCGAGUUCCACAGGUAGGUGGCAAGCUUUUCCAUACACUAGCCUGUAGGGUGACAUCCCAAUCGGGGUCUUGAAAGCCGUUCUAUAUGCCCAUAAUGCAUCAUCAAGUCGUAAUGACCAAUCUUUCCUGUCUGGCCUCACCGUCUUUUCUAAUAUGUGCUUUAUUUCUCGAUUGGAGAUCUCAACUUGGCCACUGGUUUGCGGAUGAUACGGGGUCGCCACUUUGUGUGUGAUUGAAUACUUUGUUCAAAAGAGCCUUGAAUGCUUUGUUACAAAAGUGGGCACCACCAUCACUGAUUAUCGCUCGAGGGAAUCCAAAGCGUGAAACAAUGUUGCUUUUCAAAAAUCCUAUCACCACUUUGUGAUCAUUGGUUCUACAUGGAAUUGCUUCCACCCAUUUCGAUACGUAGUCAACACCAACCAAUAUGUAUUGAUGGCCAAAAGAAGGGGGAAAGGGUCCCAUGAAGUCGAUACCCCAUACGUCAAAAAAUCUCAACCACUAAAAUUGGAUUUAGUGGCAUCAUGUUCCUUCGUGUAAUGCUCCCAUUCGUUGACACCUAUCACAUGAAGAACAGAAAGUGUAAGCGUCUCGAAAUAUAGUUGGCCAAUAGAAACCACAUUGUAAAACUUUAGUCGCUGUUUUCUUAGCACUGAAAUGGCCUCCACAAGCUUGUUCAUGGCAGAAUGAAAGGAUAUUCUGAAUUUCACUUUCAUGGGACACAUCGUCUAACAAUUUGGUCUGCACAAUACUUGAACAAAUAUGGGUCAUCCCAAAAGAAAUUCUUUAUUUCCGCAAAGAAUUUAGCCUUGUCUUGCUUGGUCCAAUGCUCUGGAAAUUUACCUGUAACAAGAUAAUUAACUAUAUCAGCAUACCAAGGUAAUACUUCCACAUUCAUUAAUUGUUCAUCUGGAAAUGACUCAUUUAAUGGUAAUGGUUCUGUAAUUGUGUCAAAAUGGAGACGAGAGAGAUGGUCCAGCCACAACAUUUUCUGUCCCUUUCUAUCUUUGAAUUCCAAGUCGAAAUUCCUGCAAAAGUAACACCCAACGAAUUAGUCUAGCUUUUGCAUCUUUCUUUGUGAGAAGAUAUUAAGAGCAGCAUGAUCUGUGAAUAUAAUUAUUUUACAACCAAUGAGAUAAGAUCGAAAUUUCUCUAAUGCAAACACUACUGCUAGCAUUUCUUUUUCAGUAGUUGAAUAGUUCAACUGUGCAUCAUUCAAUGUCAUACUAGCAUAGUAAAUAACAUGGGGAAUUCGAUCAACUCUUUGUCCUAAUACUGCUCCUACUGCAUAAUCAGAUGCAUCACACAUGAGCUCAAAUGGUAAGCUCCAGUUUGGGGCCUGAAUGAUGGGUGAUGAUGUCAACAAUGCUUUAAUUUUUCAAAAGCCAUAAGACAUGAAUCAUUAAAGAUAAAAGGUACAUCCUUAGCAAGUAAAUUGCAUAAGGGUCUAGAAACUUUGCUAAAAUCUUUAAUGAAACGUCUAUAGAAACCAGCAUGCCCAAGGAAAGAUCUUACUUCUCUGACUGUUUUAGGUGGAGGAAGAUUAGAAAUGAGAUCCACCUUGGCUUUGUCAACCUCAAUACCUUUGCUCGAAAUGAUGUGACCGAGAACAAUACCUUGUUUUACCAUAAAAUGGCACUUCUCCCAAUUUAAGACUAAGUUCUUCUCGGUACAUCUCUGCAGAACUAGCGUUAGAUGAUGUAAACAUUGAUCAAACGAGUCACCAAAGACAGAAAAAUCAUCCAUAAAGACUUCAAGGAAUCGUUCAACCAUAUCAGAAAAAAUGCUCAACAUGCAUCGUUGGAAAUGUAGCAGGUGCAUUACAUAAUCCAAAUGGCAUUCUCCUAUAUGCAAAAGUGCCAAAAGGGCAAGUGAAAGUAGUUUUCUCUGAUCUUUUGGUGCUAUGGGAAUCUGAUUAUAUCCUGAGUAGCCAUCUAGAAAGCAAUAAAAUUCAUGGCCUGCUAAUCUAUCAAGCAUUUGAUCAAUAAAUGGUAAAGGAAAAUGGUCUUUACGUGUGACAGAAUUCAACUUUCUAUAAUCAAUGCAUACACGCCAUCCUGUAGUUACUCUAGUUGGUAUCAAUUCAUUAUCAGCAUUGGUAACUACUGUGACUCCUGACUUUUUGGGGACAACUUGUACAGGACUGACCCAUGAACUAUCAGAAAUUGGGUAAAUGAUACCUGCGUCUAAUAGCUUAAGGACUUCAGUUCUAACAACUUCUUUCAUAUUAGGAUUUAACCGACGUUGCAUUUCCCUAGUAGAUUUUAGCAUUUUCAUCAAGGUGAAUGUAAUGCAUGCAGUCUACUGGGUUUAUACCUUUUAUGUCUGCUAUGGUCCAUCCUAAUGCUCCUUUGUGCUCUUUUAAAACAUCCAACAACUUACCUUUUUGUUCGUCAUUUAGGGAUGAUGAGAUGAUUACCGGCAGAGUACUUUCUUCUCCCAAAAAUGCAUAUUCCAAGUGUUGGGUAAUGGUUUGAGCUCGAGUUUCGGUGGUGAUUCUGAUGAUGGGAUGAGUUUCUUCUCUGAUGGUGCUAGUUGUUCAACUCUUGACUUCCAUUUAUUAGUGUCCAUGGAUGGUGCUGAGUCAAGUAGGGCGUUGACCUCAUCGACCGAUCUGUCAAUAUCAAAAUCCAAACCAAAGUGAGUUAAACAUGUUGUAAAGGAUCAUCACUAAGGUUUGAAAGAAAAGUAUUAUCAACUAUUGUUUCUAUUAAAUCCACAUCAACAAUUCCAUCAUCUGCACUGUGAGGUUGUUUGGCAAUGUUGAAAAUGUUUAGCUCCAUAGUCAUGUUGCCGAAGGACAACUGCAUAUUUCCAGUCCUGCAUUGAAUGUGAGCAUCCGCAGUUGCCAAGAAAGGUCGGCCUAGAAUAAUGGGGAUGUGCUUCCUUGAAUCCUGUAUUGGUUGAGUGUCAAUUACAAUGAAAUCAACAGGAAAAUAAAACUUGUCUACCUGGAUAAGCACGUCCUCCACAAUACCACGAGGUAUUUUCGUGGACCGAUCUGCAAGCUGUAACACCACUGGAGUUGGGUGUAAUUCUCCCAGUCCAAGUUUCACGAAUACAGAAUAAGGCAACAAAUUUACACUAGCUCCUAAAUCCAACAAAGCAUUCUCAAUUGUGUGGUUCCCUAUACUACAUGAGAUAGUGGGGGAGCCUGGGUCUUUGCAUUUUAAGGAAUUUUAUGUUGGAGUAUAGAACUAACGUUUUCUGUUAAAAAUGCCUUCUUUUGAACAUGCAUAUUUCUCUUUUUAGUACAAAGGUCUUUAAGAAACUUGGCAUAAGAUGGAACUUGUUUAAUAGCAUCAAGUAAAGGGAUGUUAACACUUACCUGUUUGAAGAUUUCGAGAAUCUCACCUGUGGAUUUUCCCUUUUUCCUUUCGCUAACCUCUGAGGAAAUGGAGCUUUCGGAACAUAUUCUCGUGGGUUGGUUUCUUCUUUUUCCUCCGGUGGUGAGUCCUCAACAUUCACAGGUACAAUUUGAUUUUCUUUUGUCACCGGCAUCUCCACUUUGUUGUCGACUUCUUUUCCUUUUCGCAAGGUCAUGACUGCUUUGACCUCUCCAUGCUGUUGUGGUGAACUGGUACUUGCUUCAUGUACUCCUUUAGGAUUAGGCACUGGUUGACUUGGAAAUUUACCUUUCUCAACAGUCAUUGCCAAGGUCUGAACUGAAGAAGCAAGUUGUCCCACCAUCUUCUCGAGGCUUGAAACUGAUUGGCUUGUGAGUUGAAGCCUGCUCUCAACUCAUUUNNNNNUUAAUUAAUUAANNNNNAUCUUAAUGCAUGUAUUUAAUUAUUCGGGGCUAUUAGAGCGGGAUCCACUUUUUGGGGAAUAUGAGUCGAAGCAAUAACAAGAAUAUUUCUAGUGGAACAUCUUUCACAAUCCCUGGAGAGAUAGUUCACUAAUAGACCGAGGGAUAAGUAAUUCGACUCAUUCACAUCCAGAUCAUGAAUGUUUGGAAUCCAUAUUAUGCAAGGAGACAUUGCUUUUGCUAAUUCGAAUUGAAGGGUGAUAUAAAAUCGGCCUAUUUCCGACAUCAUAUCGAUAGUUAGCGCAUUCAUCAUAGUUAGAAGCUCCAGCUCCGUAUCAAGGUCACGAUCGAUAUCGUCACUAGCAUCAAUAUCGUCACUAGCAUCAUCGAUAUCAUCAAUAAGAAACCUUUAGGCUUGUUAUCCAGGAACUUGUUCAGAAAUUACUGUAAUGAAAGGAACAUAGGAGUUUGCCGCUAGGUAUUUGACCAAAUAGGAGCGUCCGGUUCCUAUAGAACCUAUCACUAAAAUACCCCUAGAGGGGGAUAGGGCUAGGCGGAGCGAAAAGGGUUUUCCAUGAGAUGGGAAAUGAAAACUAUUAGCCCCACACGAAGUUUGUGAAUAAGUGAUUGUCUGAUAAUGAGCAAGGAAUAUCCGUCUUCUGCUAAACAGUAUGUAUUGAACUCAUAAUUCAUGAAAUGCUUUUUAUGAAUGUCAACUAAGUAUCGUAAGUAAAUUGUUCCCGGUUGUUCAAUCAUUUGAUAACCAGAGUCAUUCUUUGAUAAAUGAUCACUAUGAGUCAGACUCGAUAGAAUUUGAUCAAUCCUUUUUUCUGUCGUUAAGGUUAAGGUGGAGAACUGAACCAAGAAUUCUCUUUCUUUAUCAUCAAUCGAAUCACUGUUCGCGACCCAGGAUUCUAUUUUAUCAUCAAUCCAAUCACCGUUCCCCUUUUUUCUUUUUCUUAUCAAUGAAUAGAUCUCUUUACUUGUAUGACUUAGAUGUCUCGUAUUUCUCGAAAAAGUGAUUCGGUUGAUGGGAUUUGGUAUGAUACUUAUGAGAUCGGUGAUAUCGACGAGAUUGAUAUUCAAAUCUUUCGUCUUAGAACGUAUUGAUUUAACCCCAUCCGCGGACCACCACCCCAUAGCAUGUUGCCGCCAAAAGCAGAACCCCGUAUUUCUUCUAGAGAAUCUCCUAAUUGUUCCAGAGCAACUAGAAAGAGAUUCUUUAACCAGAAAGAAUUCAGUUCAGAUGUGGGAUACCUAUCCAGAAGUUUUUCGCAACUCAAUCAUGUAUGGUGGAAUCAUCAAAGAUUUGACCCUUUCGAACUCUGUCUCUAACUCACUAUAGGCUCGGGAAACAAAGAGAAGAUGUGUAUGAACGAGAUAUCCAGCAACAAGAAGAAGGAAAAGGAUUGAAUAGAGGAACUCCCGAGCAUUUGGCGAUCUCAGAUGUGUCGAUAUCAAUGGUGACUCAUUAUUUCGAUGAAUCAUUUCUUCGGACAGAAGAAGAUUAUGGAAACACUUACUCGAAAUCUCACUUAUCAGAUUCCAUUGUGGAAGACACCAUUUUUUCUGAAGAAUUCGCCAUGCUCUAUCUGAUCCAUGCAUAAUAUCAUGAAAAAUGGAUACAAAUUUUUGACUGCUACUUAGUACCGGCAAUAGGUCUGAAAAAGUAUCUAAAAAUAUCAAAUUUAGAUAUUUGUACCCUGUCGAAGUAAGGAACCAUGGCAUAUAUGUUUGGAAUCGAUUCCAUUUUGAGAGAGUUGAAAAAGCACUGUCUCGUUGAAAGGUUCUAGACAUCUGCCCUUUCUCAACGCAUUUCUUUAGACAAAGACUCCGUUUUUUCCUCUUUCUCUUUUCGGAUGGUAAAUAUUUCUCAGAACAUGGAGUGUGAAUCAAACCCAUGUUUGAAUUGAAAUUGAGAUACUGAUGCAAGUUCUUCUCGUCUGAAUCAGAUCGAUUCAUAUCUGAAAGAGGUUGACAAUAAGUUCUUUCAAAAUUGACUAUUUGUCCCUCUGUUAGAGGUGUUCCAGAAAUGGCUGCGAUCGAGUAAAUAGCUCUACGAACUAAUAGAUCGGAUCGAAUUGGAAAAGGGAAAAAUUUGUACAAGUUAUACCUUUCGUCACCGCUUUGUGGAAAAUCGUUAGGUAUGAAUAUGUUAGAUACCUGUGACUCGAUUGGUGAAAUAGUAUCUCUCUCCAAAAAAGCAUGUUUUUUUUUACCGCCGCACAAAGAAAAUAUUUUGUUGCGAAUGAACAAGAUAUUGAGGAAUUGUCCAUACGUAAAAUCAUAAUUAUUGAUACGGACCUUUUCCACAUAAAAAGUGAAUCUUUUGUUACAAUAGAAGCGGAAGCGAUGUGGAUUAUUCAAGAAUCGAAGUCGAUUUGCUUUAUAAAAAGAAGAUAUCAAUGAACUUCUAUGAAAUGGUUUCACAGGAUUCAGCCAAUUGUCUUGAUCGUGGGAUAUCAUUGAGAAAUAGGAAUCCGUGUUAUCAAAAGAUUUCCUGCGAUUUUUUCUAGUAUGGAAUGAGUCAAUCAUCCACUUCGGUAUCUUAUUGAACAAAAAUGGUGAUAUUCUUCCUCCAUUGAUCAAGAAUUUCGAUUUUUGGGAAGUAUUAUGAUCAUCCAAUAAGAAGGGUUUCAAUUUUUUCAAAUGAACGAUUUGAAGACCUAUUGAUUCUAACAACUGAUUGCAGAGUUGAUCAUUCGGACCUUUCAAUUCAUAGAUGUGGAUCUCAGACCUAUGAAUGGGGAUAUUCCCGAAACUCACAAAGAAAAAAGGAAGUGAGUUAGACAAAAAGAAAAGAAACUUGGACAAAAAGAAAGGAAGUGGCUUAGACAAAUCUUUUUUGUCGAUAACUUCAGACCAAUCAAUCGAAUAUUGAUUAAUACGUAAUCGAUCGAACACUACUUGAAAACGGCUCUUCUGCUCAGAAACGAAAUGUUUCAAAUGCUCCUGGAAAUUCUUGCUCCCAUUGGACCAUUUGUAUCUAUAUGCAUUAGGAUCCCGAUUCAUGAAUCUCUCGGUUCGAGAAAUCAAAAUCAGAGGAGCGAACCAUUUCUUCUGACUCUUUUUCAAAUUCGAUAAAUGUUGGUUGAUCGUAUAUUUCAUUAUAGUUCUAUGAUUCAGAGUAUCAUUUCCUAUUUGAUCCCUGUGAAUUCCAUAUUCGAAGUUGCGAUCGGAUCUAUUCAUUAAAAAGAAUCGAUUCAAUACAUUUCUUAUGUACCCAUAGGUGCUAUAUUGGAUUUGAAUCCGAUUUCGGAUCAAUCUAGAUUGAUUGACUGCCUCCAUUAUGUUGUUGCUAGCAAAUACCACUAUUUUUGGUUUUGGAUCUUCCAAAUCAUUCCCGCAGGAGAUCCGGACCCAUUUUUUUCUGAUCCUUCGAUAAAAAGAUUCAUUCUCUUCAUAAAAAAUAGGAGGUAGAACCAAUAAAGAUUUCUUUUUCGAUUCAUUCCUGGAGUUGAAUACCUCAUUCAAGAAUUGUUUUUGCUCCAAUCCGUAGGAAAAAAUAGAAAAGGCAAAUCCCUUAUGAUACACCAGAUCCGGCUCGGUUAUUGAUAGAGUGAAUAGAUCUGCCAUUUCUUGAAAUCUCUCUUCUGAUUCAAAAUCGUGGUGUAACGUGGAUCCCCCCCUGUUCCGGUCAUGGAAUAGAUGAAAUAAAUCAAAAAAUGGAUUUUUGUUUAAGAAUGAAAUCUUAUUGGAACUGUCCAUAUCCAGUUCAUCCUUCGGAACCAUAUCACAUCCCGGAUCUGAUGAAAUAGGAUGAAUUGAGACGGUAUUUUGUAAAUACGUAAUUAUCUUGAAUAUAUUAACUAUUUCUUUAUUUUCCGAUCGCCUGGAAGGGACAAAAGAAACAUCCUCUUCUUUCUUCAACAAUUUCUGAUCUCUAGUGGACCUCUCAGUAGGAUUCGAACCCAGAUGAAGUUCUGACCAUCUGUCAGAGAAAAAAGAACGAAUGGAUCUUGCAGGAUUCCCAAGAAAUUCUUCGAUUUCUUCCGGAAGCAGAUGCUUAUUCAUCUGCCUUUCACGUUCCGUGAAUAGCCGGGACAUUGAGGAAUAUCCAGAAAGACAUUUAGGGAAUCGUCUGAUUCUAUCUCUCUUCGUUCCGCUUGAAGAAAAGAAGGAUCCCAAAGAAUCGAUCUUUCUUUUAGUUGUUGAAUCUCUCUUUGAUUGAUCAAUGUGUGAUAUUCCGAAUCCUCAUUACUAAUGGAAUCGAAAUGAUCUCUGGAUUGAUCAGAAGAUCCUUUCAAUUGGCUAGAAUCCGUUACUUGAACGAAACUAGAUCUUGUGGAAUCAUAUUGAAUAUUUGACGAUACAUUCCGUACCUUGGUAAAAAAUCGAUCCUUGUUUACCAACCACACAUUGUCUAACCAAAUCCAAUUCUCUCUCGCUAUGUUCCUCAAAAAAUCCGAUUCGUGCGGAUUCUUCCCCCAACUAACGAAGAGAUCUUGGCGGAAUUGCCACAUAUGAAAUUGAGCACAAUUUUGCAAAGAAAUAGCCCACUUGUUUCUCAAGAAGAGAUGGGAAAAACGCUCAAUAUCAUUUGAUUGAAUAGUUGACCCAGCCCCUUGUUGUUUGAGGAAACCCCCCACUUCAAUUGGUAUUUUUUCACGAAAAGCAAACAUGAGAUAACAAAUCCAGUCUUUCACUAAGAUUUCGAAUAGAUGUCCCGAAUUCAAGUUGAUUAUGUUUCGCCUCUUACUCGGAGAAAGACGAUCAAACAAUUCCCAAUCAUGGUCCUUGCGGAUCGGAUCAUCCAUAUAAUAUACAAAAAGAAACUCCAGAUAUUUGAGAUCUUUCUCUUUGAAUGAGAUCUCAAUUCCAGCGACGGUUUCAUUAGAUAUCUUACAACUAGAAUCCCUCUUUUUUCCGAGCCAGUUCCUCCACCACGCGAACCCCAGUUAGAUUCAGGCAUGAUACACCUUUUAGUUAUUGGGAG
rnacentral:lncRNA from 1 species